UUUUUUUUUUUUGAGACAGAGUCUCGCUCUUGUCACCCAGGCUGGAGUGCAAUGGUGCGAUCUCAGCUCGCUGCAACCUCUGCCUCCCAGGUUCAAGUGAUUCUCCUGCCUCAGUCCCCCAAAUAGCUGGGAUUACAGGCACCUGCCACCAUGCCUGGCUACUUUUUGUAUUUUUAGUAGAGACAGGGUUUCACCAUGUUGGCCAGGCUGGUCUCGAACUCCUGACUUCAGGUGAUCCACCCAUUUUAGCCUCCCAAAGUGCUGGGAUUACAGGCAUGAGCCACUGCCCCCGGCCCUCUGGUUGAAUCUUGAUGGAUGGACCAGUUAAGGAUGGCUGAGGAAAAAGGUCCACACAGGAGGAAUAGAACGAGCAGAGUUAUGAAAGGUGGGGCUCAUGCAGGGAACCACAGGUGGCUUGGCAUUUCUAGAAACAGAAUGAGAAGCAGAGAGAGCAAGAAGACGCUAGAGAGGGAGGAAAUGGCUGGGCCGUGGAGGAACUGAAUGGCAUACUGAACGUUUGGCCAGUGCAAGAUACAGCUGAAUGAAGGAGGCUUCUGUAUGCGUGGCGAUGCUGCUGUGAAGUUUACGUGACCUGUUACGGUAUUUGCUGUUCUCUGAAUAAUGUUCCACAUGACAAAUUUACUUCAGAAUACAGUCCUUUUAAAAAUGUUGAUUCCUUUCUACAGUCAGAUAGCAAGAAUUAGGUGAUAUAUUCUAUCAGGACAGGGUAGGUUAUACUGUCUAAUAAAUAAACCACCUAUUUCAGUGGCUUCGUGAUAAAGGGUUUGUCUUCCUCAUGUCAUGCUGGGCAGAUGUUUUUCUUUGGUGACUCUUUAUCAAGCAGUGUCUCAGGGCCCCAGGGUCCUUUUAUCUCGUGACAUUGCAAACUUAAAUGUGUGGCCUUUGAGACUGCCAAGAAAAUGAGAUCGCAGAUUGUGGACAAUCUUGCCGGUCGGGGUGGGGUGGGUCACCGCUGGGCCUGAGUGUGGCUUCUGUAACUUCCAACAGGUCCUCACAAGUAGCACCCAGUCACCCGUCCCUAACUGCUAGCAGGCUGGGGAAUGUGGCCUUUAGCAGAAUCUUCAGGAAACGAUUUCUGUGAAAAUGACCCCUUCAGCAAUUAGAAUGAC
rnacentral:lncRNA from 1 species